rnacentral:rRNA from 1 species
GAUGAACGCUGGCGGCGUGCCUAAUACAUGCAAGUCGAGCGAACAGAUAAGGAGCUUGCUCCUUUGACGUUAGCGGCGGACGGGUGAGUAACACGUGGAUAACCUACCUAUAAGACUGGGAUAACUUCGGGAAACCGGAGCCAAUACCGGAUAACAUAUUGAACCGCAUGGUUCAAUAGUGAAAGGCGGCUUUGCUGUCACUUAUAGAUGGAUCCGCGCCGCAUUAGCUAGUUGGUAAGGUAACGGCUUACCAAGGCAACGAUACGUAGCCGACCUGAGAGGGUGAUCGGCCACACUGGAACUGAGACACGGUCCAGACUCCUACGGGAGGCAGCAGUAGGGAAUCUUCCGCAAUGGGCGAAAGCCUGACGGAGCAACGCCGCGUGAGUGAUGAAGGUCUUCGGAUCGUAAAACUCUGUUAUCAGGGAAGAACAAAUGUGUAAGUAACUGUGCACAUCUUGACGGUACCUGAUCAGAAAGCCACGGCUAACUACGUG